rnacentral:rRNA from 1 species
CGGGGUGCAGCAGGCGCGAAAACUUUACAAUGCUGGCAACAGCGAUAAGGGGACCUCGAGUGCCAGGAUACAAUCUUGGCUGUCGCGAUGCCUAAAAAGCAUUGCAUAGCAAGGGCCGGGCAAGACCGGUGCCAGCCGCCGCGGUAACACCGGCGGCUCGAGUGGUAACCGCUAUUAUUGGGUCUAAAGGGUCUGUAGCCGGCCGGAUAAGUCUUUUGGGAAAUCCAGCUGCUCAACAGUUGGGCUUUCAGAAGAUACUGUUCGGCUCGAGACCGGGAGAGGUGAGAGGUACUUCAGGGGUAGGGGUGAAAUCUUGUAAUCCUUGAAGGACCACCAGUGGCGAAGGCGUCUCACCAGAACGGAUCUGACGGCAAGGGACGAAAGCUAGGGGCACGAACCGGAUUAGAUACCCGGGUAGUCCUAGCCGUAAACGAUACUCGCUAGGUGUCAGCCACGGUGCGACCGUGGUUGGUGCCGUAGGGAAGCCGUGAAGCGAGCCACCUGGGAAGUACGGCCGCAAGGCUGAAACUUAAAGGAAUUGGCGGGGGAGCACAAGGGCGAAUCGCG